CCUACGGGUGGCAGCAGUGAGGAAUAUUGGUCAAUGGACGCAAGCCUGAACCAGCCAUGCCGCGUGCAGGAAGACGGCCCUCUGAGUUGUAAACUGCGUUUGUAGAGGAGUAAACGCAGGUACGCGUAUCUUUAUGUAAGUACGGUAUGAAUAAGGAUCGGCUAACUCCGUGCCAGCAGCCGCGGUAAUACGGAGGAUUCAAGCGUUAUCCGGAUUUAUUGGGUUUAAAGGGUGCGUAGGCGGUCUGAUAAGUUAGAGGUGAAAUCCCGAGGCUCAACUGCGGAAGUGCAUUUGAUACUGUGAGGCUUGAGAGUAGUUGAGGUAGGUGGAAUUGAUGGUGUAGCGGUGAAAUGCUUAGAGAU
rnacentral:rRNA from 1 species